rnacentral:rRNA from 1 species
GAUGAACGCUGGCGGCGUGCCUAAUACAUGCAAGUCGAGCGAAUGGAUUAAGAGCUUGCUCUUAUGAAGUUAGCGGCGGACGGGUGAGUAACACGUGGGUAACCUGCCCAUAAGACUGGGAUAACUCCGGGAAAUCGGGGCUAAUACCGGAUAACAUUUUGAACCGCAUGGUUCGAAAUUGAAAGGCGGCUUCGGCUGUCACUUAUGGAUGGACCCGCGUCGCAUUAGCUAGUUGGUGAGGUAACGGCUCACCAAGGCAACGAUGCGUAGCCGACCUGGGAGGGGGAGCGGCCACACUGGGACUGAGACGCGGCCCAGACUCCUGCGGGAGGCAGCAGUAGGGAAUCUUCCGCAAUGGACGAAAGUCUGACGGAGCAACGCCGCGUGAGUGAUGAAGGCUUUCGGGUCGUAAAACUCUGUUGUUAGGGAAGAACAAGUGCUAGUUGAAUAAGCUGACACCUUGACGGUACCUAACCAGAAAGCCACGGCUAACUACGUGCCAGCCGCCGCCGUAA